rnacentral:rRNA from 1 species
GCGGAGGGANCAUUACCGAGUUUACAACUCCCAAACCCCUGUGAACAUACCACUUGUUGCCUCGGCGGAUCAGCCCGCUCCCGGUAAAACGGGACGGCCCGCCAGAGGACCCCUAAACUCUGUUUCUAUAUGUAACUUCUGAGUAAAACCAUAAAUAAAUCAAAACUUUCAACAACGGAUCUCUUGGUUCUGGCAUCGAUGAAGAACGCAGCAAAAUGCGAUAAGUAAUGUGAAUUGCAGAAUUCAGUGAAUCAUCGAAUCUUUGAACGCACAUUGCGCCCGCCAGUAUUCUGGCGGGCAUGCCUGUUCGAGCGUCAUUUCAACCCUCAAGCACAGCUUGGUGUUGGGACUCGCGUUAAUUCGCGUUCCUCAAAUUGAUUGGCGGUCACGUCGAGCUUCCAUAGCGUAGUAGUAAAACCCUCGUUACUGGUAAUCGUCGCGGCCACGCCGUUAAACCCCAACUUCUGAAUGUUGACCUCGGAUCAGGUAGGAAUACCCGCUGAACUUAAGCAU